CUGGGCUGCUACACGAGUGUUUUGGUUCUUUUUGAGACCAAGGUGUGUCCUCCAAAUAUCUUGGGCCUGUUAGUGAUCUUAGUGGUACACGAGACAUUACGUGAUAGGGAAGAACACUGGACUAGAAAUUUAGAUGCCCUGAAAGCUGCAGAUCUGGCCCUGAGUACGGUGAUUUUGGACAAUAACUGAUAUUUACAUAACACUUUAAAGUUUGCAAAGCAUUUACAUACAUGAUUUUAUCUGAAGCAGGAACUAUUAUUCUCAACUCAAAAUUUGCCUGUGGUCAUCCAGUAUCUCUCUGUAGCCUCUCCGCAAGUCACUUCCUCUAAAUUAGCUUCCUCACCUUUUUUUCUAAAAGGUGAGAUUGGGUCAGAAGGUCUUUAAGGUCCCUUUCUAGAUUUAACAGCUUAGAAAUCUGGGAAACCUAUUCAUUAAAUUGAUUAGAAUUGUCUUUUUACCUCCUUUUCUUCCUCUCUUUUUUGAGUCUCCUUGAUUAUAAUUGUGAUUGUUCCAAGAACGCAGCUAUCAGCAGCUCCUCGAUUUCCAGCUUCAGCAAUGAAGUUUUCAGUCUAUGAGCUAUGAACUGGACAUUUUCCAGCAGAUAGAAGUGUAUUCUGACACUAGAUUGCUUCUAGGUCUCUUGUUGCAUCCUCCAGUGGGAUUGAGCGGAAUAGAUUUAAUUAGGUUGGACCUGUUACAAAGUCUUGCUUGUCACUCCAUUUCAUCAGUGAAGCCAGUAUGAAUCAAUAGAAAAAGCUACUUUUUCCUUGCCACUAAUUUGCUUUUGUCAAAUCACUGAAAGCCUUGCUUUUUCCUAGCUGUUAAAUGGGGUUAGCAAGAACCUUCCUCACAAAAUUGUUAUGAAAAUCAAUCAAGCCUUAAUUAAGCAUCUAUUAGUGUCAAGCCAUGGGACUACAGAGCAAAAAUCAAAUGGUUCUAUAAUUAAAGUCAAAGUUCCUUAGGAAAAAAAAAAUCCUGAACAAAUAAUCUUUAGUGGUAGGUUUGAAAAUCAUUAAUUAGCCUUGACUUCUCAAAGCUGCCAACCUGAUGUAGGUAGACUCAAGAUUUGCCAUUAGAAAGAAAAAGCAUUCUGAAGAAGCAAAGAAAAUUUAUCACCCUUUCCCUACAACAGAACCUGCCCUCAUUCCACCAACCACAAUCCUCUGCUUCUAGGUCUUGCCCCCAAAACCCAUUUCCCACUCACUUGGUGGGAACAGUCCUGCUCUAAACAAUGCUUAGAGGGUCAGUACUGUGUGUAUAGUGGGGAGUGGGAAGGCUAUCAACUGGAGAAGACAUUUUGGAGAAAUAGGACUUUUGUAUAAAGUCCUAAGGACUGAGAACUUUCAGGAGUCUGAUGGAGGGAGAAUUGAUAAGCUGGUUGAUCUAUGCUGGAGGAACUGACUUAGAGACUAAGUGACUUGCUAAUGUGUCAAAAGUGGGAUUUAAAUGGAAGCCUUUCUGAUUCCAGAUUCAGCACUCUCCUCAGUGCUUUUUUCAGUGCUCUCUUUUCUCAGCACGUGAUAAGGUUCCCUGACCCCAUCAUUAAAUUUGUCCUUAGAGUGCACUCCAAACUCCUUCCUGAAAGGUUCAUCUCUCCGACCUACUACUACUACCUUCCCUCCCUGUCCUUCCUAUCCUAUCUAGUCUCAUCUACCGGUUCAUCCCCGUCCUUACAAUCUCAGUCUGAUAGUUCCUGUUCACUUCCAUCUGGGGAAAUAUCCCAGGCAGAAGUUCAAGAGCCAACAGAAGGAUGAUUACAGAAAGGCCUGGAGAGACUUACAGGAACUGAUGCUAAGUGAAAUGAGCAGAACCAGGAGAUCGUUGUACAUGGCAACAAGACUAUACAAUGAUCAAUUCUGAUGGACAUGGCUCUCUUCAACAAUGAUUGAGGCCAGUUUCUAAUCCCCCUCUCCCUCCCCAGGUAAUUGGGGUUGAGUGAUUUGCCCAAAGUCACAUAGCCAGGAAGAGUUAAGUGUCUGAGGCUGGAUUUGAACUCUUGUCCUCCUGACUUCAGGGCUGGUACUCUAUCCACUGCACAACCUAACUGCCCCAAUUGAGGCCAAUUUUAAUGAUUUUGUGUUGAAGAGAGCCAUCUGCACCGAGAGAGACUGUGGGAACAUUGGGUAGAUCGCAACAUAGCAUUUUCACUCUUUUUGGUGAUUUGCUUGCAUUUUGUUUUCUUCCUCAUUUUUUCCCUUUUUUGAUCUGGUUUUUCUUGUGCAGCAAGAUAACUGUAUAAAUUUGUAUACAUACAUUGGAUUUAACAUAUAUUUUAACAUAUAUUGGAUUACUUGCCAUCUAGGAGAGGGGGUAGGGGAAAGGAGGGGAAAAUUUGGAACACAAGGCUUUACAAGGGUCAAUGUUGAAAAAUUAUCCACCAUUAUGUUUUGCAAAUAAAAAGUUUUAACUAAAAAAAAAAAAAGGGAGCCAACAGAAUAGUACACUCAGACCGUUUGCCCUGCUUGAGCGUGAGCCCCCCUAACCAGUCCCCACCCAGGGGUUCAGUCCUCGUGGAGCUGGGACCUGGCAGUUCCCUCUCUGCCAUGCUCCUGCCCUUGCCUCCUAGUCACAGCUGCUGGAGACUCAGAAAGUCCUCCCCACCAAAGUCCUUGGCACCAUUAAAUGGCUGGAUAUUAGAAACGGAUAUGGUUUUAUCAAUGAAAAAUACACUAACGAAGAUGAAUUGCAUAUACUUUGCUGAUGCACCCUAAGGACCACAAGGCCUUUCCUCUGGACCUGCAGCUGAAGCCUCCUGUGUGUAUAUUGUUUUCCCCUAAUGGAUUAUGAGUACUUGGAAAGCUUCUUGUUUUUCUGGGUGUAUCGCCAUUGUGCUAAUUUGUUCAGCCACUUUUCAAUCAUGUCAGACUCUUUUUUACUCCAUUUAGGGUUUUCUUGGCAAAGAUUCUAGAAUAGUUUGCCAUUUCCUUCUCCAGCUCAUUUUACAGAUGAGGAAACUGAGGCAAACAGAAUUGCCCAGGAUCACCCAGCUGGUGUCUGAGACUAUAUUUGAACCCAGGACUCCCUGACUCCCUGAUAGAACCCAGUGUUCUAUCCACUGGACCACUUAACUGUCUUAUUAUGCACAUAAUAAGUGCUUUAAAGUAUGUGUGUUUUAAUUCAUUCACUCCUUCAUCUUCCAUAGCUCCACUGCCCAAGUACCCAGAAGGGAUUGAAGGGGCCCUCAUGUCCCCAUAUUUUCUCCCCAACUUUGUCUGAAGGCUUGGCAUAGGAUUCUGUAAAGAUUUUAGAGUUAGAAGGAACUUCUGACCUCAUUUUACAGAUAAGGAAACUGAAGUCGGGAAAAUUAAAUGACUUGUUCCCAUAAGGUCACCUAGGUAGUAAAUGGCUGGGCCAGAGUUUGAACCCAGAUUUUCCUGACUCCAAAUCCCACAUGAUUUCGGUUACGCCAGGCUACCGUUAAAUCAGAGGAUUGCAAGCUAGAAGAAGGACGUUGCAGGUGAUCUCAUCCGCCUCAUUUUACACACAAAGUGUCCGAAUUUCUGCCCUCUGCCACAGGCAUCCACCUGUGUCACUGAUGAUCUGGAAGGAGACAAAGGCUUCCUUGCUCUUCCCGAAUCUCUUCUCCUCCACCCCCAACCUUCCCAGGCUUCCGGAUUCCCACGGGGUGUUCCUUUGGGGUCCAGCAUUCAUGGCCUUCCACAAUGCAGGCCGUCUCCCAAGUGUCAGCGUUAGCUUCGCUUGUACUAGUGCCGGUGAGUCUGGACCAGCUGGCUGUCCCCCAGCAGAGGAACACGAAGAGGUAGGCGGGUGAAUCUGGUCAAGGACACGGGGGGAGGAAGCAGCAGGAAGGGAGGGGGCGAAGACCACCCCGCAGAUCUGGCCACGAUGGGGAGCGUUGAGAGGAUGCUAGAUUUCUGGCUGCUCCCUGGCGGGUCAGGGCCCAGCUCUGCUCCUGGCGAUGGAAACCGUGUUUCUGGUACCUGAAGGAAACGAGCAGGGAGGGGGGUGUUGGAGAGGGGAAGCUUUCCCGGAUUGGGGGUCCCCGUGUGGCUGACCCUAAGGCGGGAGGUAUCCCAGAGGCCCUCAUCCGCCUCCUCCCACCCUGGCUCAGAGUUUCCCUCACACUACCCUGCCUGGCCUCCUGCGGUUUCUUGUUGGCGCCUCUGGUCUCUAACAGCUAUCCCCCCUCUUGCUUUCCCCACUCCGGGCCCCACUAAUGGCUGUCUGUGGCCCCAGGGACCUUCCCUGCCUUCCCCCAAGCUGCCCUUAUCUGGGCCUCCCUCACCCCCCUUGAUGCUGAAACCCAAUCCUCUGCGGCGGGCACCUCCCACCCCGGCAGGCCUGCAGAGUGCCCCGGCCCUCCCACAGCCAGCUCCGCUCUUACAUCAGCAGCAUCGGACGGGACCCAGCCCCGAGCCAGAGCCAGCCGGCAGCCCUCCUGCUGGAGCCCGGGCCAGACCCCAGCCAGAGCCUCAGGAUCUGCUUCCUGCCCCCUCGCCCUCAUGCAGCCUUGGGCCGAGCCCCUUCUCCCCCUCCUCCGUCUCACUCCCCACCGUCCCAUCUGCUGAUCCUUCUGUCCCCCACACUGACCCAUUCCUCCUCCAGCCCUCCCCAUGCUCUGCCCUGCUUCCACCUCCCCUCAAAGCUUUCCUCGCUGACCUUUCUUUGUCACUUCUCUUCUCCCUCCUUUCGGUCCUUUUCUCUCCUCCCUCCCUUUGGUCCUUUUCCCUCCUCUCCUCUCUCCCUUUGGUCCUUUCCUCUCCUCCCUUCCUUUGGUCCUUUUCCCUCCUCCCUCCCUUUGGUCCUUUUCUCUCUCCUCUUUCCCUUUGGUCCUUUUCCCUCCUCUUCUUCCUCCCUUUGGUCCUUUCCUCUCCUUCUUCCCUUUGGUCCUUUUCCCUCCUCUCCUCUCUCCCUUUGGUCCUUUCCUCUCCUCCCUUCCUUUGGUCCUUUUCCCUCCUCCCUCCCUUUGGUCCUUUUCUCUCUCCUCCCUCCCUUUGGUCCUUUUCUCUCUCCUCUCUCCCUUUGGUCCUUUCCUCUCCUCCCUCCCUUUGGUCCUUCUCUCUCUCUUUUCUCCCUUUGGUCCUUUUCCCUUCUCUCCUCCCUCCCUUUUGUCCUUUUCCCUCCUCCCUCCCUUUGGUCCUUUUCCCUCCUCCCUCCCUUUGGUCCUUUUCCCUCCUCUUCUUCCUCCAUUUGGUCCUUUCCUCUCCUCCCUUUCUUUGGUCCUUUUCCCUCCUCCCUCCCUUUGGUCUUUUUCUCUCUUCUCCCUCCCUUUGGUUCUUUCUUUUCCUCUCUUUGGUCCUUGUCCCUCCUCUCCUCCCUCUCUUUGGUCCUUUUCCCUUCUCUCCUCCCUCCCUUUGGUCCUUUCUUCUUCUGCCUCCCUUUGGUCCUUUUCUCUCUCCUCUUUCCCUUUGGUCCUUCUCUCCUCCCUCCCUUUGGUCCUUUACCCUCUUCCCUCCCUUUGAUCCUUUUCUCUCUCCUCUCUCCCUUUGGUCCUUCUCUCUUCCCUCCCUUCGGUCCUUUUCCCUUCUCUCCUCCCUCUCAGAGGCCUCUCCUGGGCUCUCCUCUCCUGCCCCAGCCCCCUUCCCUCUGGGCUCAGCCAUGAAGCCUCUCCCUGCCCCGCCGGAGGAGGACGGAGAAGCCAGGCGGCCCACCUCGGACAUCUGUGUGUUUGCCAGCAGCUGCACCCUGCACGGCCUGAGCCACGUCUUCGGGCAUGGAGGCCUGACCCUGCGCAGGGGGCUGUGGGCGGGGGCCGUGCUGCUCUCACUGACUGCCUUCCUCUACCAGGUGGCAGAGAGGAUCGAGUACUACGGACAGUUCCACCACGUGACCGUGCUGGACGAGCAUGAGAGCCACCACCUGGUCUUCCCAGCUGUCACCCUGUGCAACAUCAACCCGCUCCGGCGGUCCCGGAUCACGCCCAACGACCUGCACUGGGCCGGACCCGCCCUUCUGGGCCUCGAGUCUGGAGAGCACGCCGCCUAUCUGAAAGAGCUGGGCCAGCCCCCGCUACCCCAGGGCUUCAUGCCCAGUGCCACUUACGACCUGGCCGAACUCUUCGCCAGGGCCGGCCACACCAUGGACGACAUGUUGCUGGACUGUCGCUACCGAGGACAGCCUUGUGGCCCAAGCAACUUCACCAGGAUCUUCACCAGAAUGGGUCAGUGUUUCAUCUUUAAUUCGGGAUUUGACGGAGCUGAGCUCCUCAGUACCCCCAAAGGAGGUUCUGGUAAUGGACUGGAAUUAAUGAUGACAGUGCAGCAGGAUGAAUACCUGCCAGUGUGGAAGGACACAGAACAAACUCCAUUUGAAGCAGGAAUUCGGGUGCAGAUUCAUAGUCAAGAUGAGCCACCCACGAUUGAUCAGCUUGGUUUUGGGGUUGCCCCAGGCUACCAGACCUUUGUGUCCUGCCAAAAGCAGCAACUCUUCUUCCUGCCACAGCCCUGGGGGAACUGUAGCUCUGUGCUCCUGGACCCUGACUUUGACAUGGGUCCUCCUGAUGUCAGCCCCUCCAACCCCAACCCAAGCCCCUGGUUAACCUACAGCCUCUCGGGCUGCCGCCAGAUCUGUGAGACUCGCUUCUUGUCUCGGAAGUGUGGCUGCCGGAUGAUGUACAUGCCCGGCAGCGCCCCCAUUUGCAGCCCCCAACAGUUCAAGGACUGUGCCAGACCUUCCCUGGACAGCAUGCUGAGGAAGGACACGGCCUGCCCCUGCCCCAGCCCCUGCGCCAGCACGCGCUUUGAAAAGGAGCUCUCCAUGGUCCGGAUCCCCAGCCGCGCGUCCGCCAGCUUCCUGGCCCAGAAAUACAACCGCAGCAAGCAGUACAUAGCGGAUAACGUUCUGGUGCUAGACAUCUUCUUUGAGGCACUUAACUAUGAGACCGUGGAGCAGAAGAAAGCCUACGGAGUGGCCGAUCUGCUGGGCGACAUUGGAGGCCAGAUGGGGCUCUUCAUUGGUGCCAGCCUGCUGACCAUUCUGGAGAUCCUGGACUUUCUCUUUGAGGUUUUCCAGGACAGGGUUCUUGGUUACUUCCAAAAUAGGAGGAGGUCACAGAAGAGACCCAGGAACAGCCUGGUCUGUUUCCCUAUUAGUGAAAUGAAAGGUGUCUAGCCAGAUAGAUGGUCUCUAAGACCCCCUUUGGCUCUGACAGUUGAUUUCUUUCCAAUAUCUGGCUGCCAUUCCUAUUUGCGGCUUCCCAUAUCCCACGUGAUAGCUCCAACAAGGGAUUGACAUCCACCGAAGUCCGGGACUCCACUUCACUGCUAAACCCAGGCCUCCCACUCCCCCCUGUGGGGUCACCAGGACUGUUUCC